ACAAGGUGUGGAGCCUGCGGCUUAAUUUGACUCAACACGGGUAAACUCACCCGGCCCGGACACAGGAAGGAUUGACAGAUUGAGAGCUCUUUCUUGAUUCUGUGGGUGGUGGUGCAUGGCCGCUCUUAGUUGGUGGAGCGAUUUGUCUGGUUAAUUCCGUUAACGAACGAGACUCUAGCCUACUAAAUAGACGUUCCGAUCCUCCGAGUCGGACGUUCUUCUUAGAGGGACGGGCGGCGAUUAGCCGCACGAAACAGAGCAAUAGCAGGUCUGUGAUGCCCUUUGAUGUCCGGGGCCGCACGCGCGCUACAUUGAAGGAACCAGCGUGUGCUUUCCCUGUCCGACAGGACUGGGUAACCCGUUGAACCUCCUUCGUGCUGGGGAUAGCAAAUUGUAAUUAUUUUGCUUGAACGAGGAACACCCAGUAAGCACGAGUCAUCAGCUCGUGUUGACUAUGUCCCUGGCCUUUGUUCACACCGCCCGUCGCUACUACCGAUUGAAUGAUUUAGUGAGGUCUUCAGACUGGCGCUCGGAUUGGCUUUCGGGUCGAGCCGACGUGCCGGAAAGAUGACCAAACUUGAUCAUUUAGAGGAAGUA
rnacentral:rRNA from 2 species